rnacentral:rRNA from 1 species
CCCUGCCCUUUGUACACACCGCCCGUCGCUACUACCGAUUGAAUGGCUUAGUGAGGUCUCCGGAUUGGCUUUGGGAAACCGGCAACGGGAUCCGUCUGCUGAGAAGUCGAUCAAACUUGGUCAUUUAGAGG